UGAGGAAUAUUGGUCAAUGGGCGGGAGCCUGAACCAGCCAAGCCGCGUGAGGGAAGAAGGUACAGCGUAAUCGUAAACCUCUUUUUGUCAGGGAACAAAGGCGGGGACUAGUCCCCGGAUGAGGGUACCUGAAGAAAAAGCAUCGGCUAAC
rnacentral:rRNA from 1 species